rnacentral:rRNA from 1 species
GUGAGGAAUAUUGCGCAAUGGAGGCAACUCUGACGCAGCCAUGCCGCGUGCAGGAAGAAGGCGCUACGCGUUGUAAACUGCUUUUAACCGGGAAGAAACCCCAGGACGUGUCCUGGGUUGACGGUACCGGAGGAAUAAGCACCGGCUAACUUCGUGCCAGCAGCCGCGGUAAUACGAAGGGUGCAAGCGUUAUCCGGAUUCAUUGGUUUUAAAUGGUGCGUAGGCGGAGCGUUAAGUCAGUGGUGAAAUCCUGCAGCUUAACUGUAGACUUGCCAUUGAUACUGGCGCUCUUGAGUGCGCUUGAAGUGGGCGGAAUGUGCCGUGUAGCGGUGAAAUGCUUAGAUAUGGCACAGAACACCAAUUGCGAAGGCAGCUCACUAAGGCGAUACUGACGCUGAGGCACGAAAGCGUGGGGAUCGAACAGGAUUAGAUACCCGAGUAGUCC